CCUACGUGAGGCUGCAGUGGGGAAUAUUGGGCAAUGGGCGCAAGCCUGACCCAGCAACGCCGCGUGAAGGAAGAAGGCUUUCGGGUUGUAAACUUCUUUUCUCAGGGACGAAGCAAGUGACGGUACCUGAGGAAUAAGCCACGGCUAACUACGUGCCAGCAGCCGCGGUAAUACGUAGGUGGCAAGCGUUAUCCGGAUUUACUGGGUGUAAAGGGCGUGUAGGCGGGAAAGCAAGUCAGAUGUGAAAACCAUGGGCUCAACCUGUGGCCUGCAUUUGAAACUGUUUUUCUUGAGUACUGGAGAGGCAGACGGAAGUCAUAGUGUAGCGGUGAAAUGCGUAGAUAUUAGGAGGAACACCAGUGGCGAAGGCGGUCUGCUGGACAGCAACUGACGCUGAGGCGCGAAAGCGUGGGGAGCAAACAGGAUUAGAUACCCCUGUAGUC
rnacentral:rRNA from 1 species